rnacentral:rRNA from 1 species
UUUGAUUAAUGCUCUAUACUCUUUUUAACUCACAUGAGUUUUUAAGAAAAGCUCCGGCGGUAAAAGAUGGGCAUGCGUCCUAUUAGCUUGUAGGUGAGGUAACGGCUCACCUAAGCUCCGAUAGGUAGGGGUCCUGAGAGGGAGAUCCCCCACACUGGUACUGAGACACGGACCAGACUUCUACGGAAGGCAGCAGUAAGGAAUAUUGGACAAUGGAGGAAACUCUGAUCCAGCGAUGCCGCGUGAAGGAAGACGGCCCUAUGGGUUGUAAACUUCUUUUAUACAGGAAGAAACCUUUCCACGUGUGGAAAGCUGACGGUACUGUAA